GUACGCUAUUCAGAGUUUGAUCCUGGCUCAGGACGAACGCUGGCGGCGCGCUUAACACAUGCAAGUCGAACGGACCGAAUUCUUUCGGGAAAGAGGUUAGUGGCAAACGGGUGAGUAACGCGUAGGCAACCUGCCUCCCGGAUAGGGACAACGGCUCGAAAGAGCCGCUAAUACCUCAUGGCGUGUCAGAACCGCAUGGUACUGACAUGAAAGGUGCUCAUGGCACCGUCGGGAGAGGGGCCUGCGUCUGAUUAGCUAGUUGGUGAGGUAACGGCCCACCAAGGCGACGAUCAGUAGCCGGUCUGAGAGGAUGAACGGCCACAAUGGGACUGAGACACGGCCCAU
rnacentral:rRNA from 1 species